AACUCUAGCUACAGGCUUAACACAUGCAAGUCGAGCGUCAGCAUGGUCUUAGCUUGCUAAGGCCGAUGGCGACCGGCGCACGGGUGAGUAACACGUAUCCAACCUGCCGUCUACUCUUGGACAGCCUUCUGAAAGGAAGAUUAAUACAAGAUGGCAUCAUGAGUCCGCAUGUUCACAUGAUUAAAGGUAUUCCGGUAGACGAUGGGGAUGCGUUCCAUUAGAUAGUAGGCGGGGUAACGGCCCACCUAGUCUUCGAUGGAUAGGGGUUCUGAGAGGAAGGUCCCCCACAUUGGAACUGAGACACGGUCCAAACUCCUACGGGAGGCAGCAGUGAGGAAUAUUGGUCAAUGGGCGAGAGCCUGAACCAGCCAAGUAGCGUGAAGGAUGACUGCCCUAUGGGUUGUAAACUUCUUUUAUAAAGGAAUAAAGUCGGGUAUGGAUACCCGUUUGCAUGUACUUUAUGAAUAAGGAUCGGCUAACUCCGUGCCAGCAGCCGCGGUAAUACGGAGGAUCCGAGCGUUAUCCGGAUUUAUUGGGUUUAAAGGGAGCGUAGAUGGAUGUUUAAGUCAGUUGUGAAAGUUUGCGGCUCAACCGUAAAAUUGCAGUUGAUACUGGAUAUCUUGAGUGCAGUUGAGGCAGGCGGAAUUCGUGGUGUAGCGGUGAAAUGCUUAGAUAUCACGAAGAACUCCGAUUGCGAAGGCAGCCUGCUAAGCUGCAACUGACAUUGAGGCUCGAAAGUGUGGGUAUCAAACAGGAUUAGAUACCCUGGUAGUCCACACGGUAAACGAUGAAUACUCGCUGUUUGCGAUAUACUGCAAGCGGCCAAGCGAAAGCGUUAAGUAUUCCACCUGGGGAGUACGCCGGCAACGGUGAAACUCAAAGGAAUUGACGGGGGCCCGCACAAGCGGAGGAACAUGUGGUUUAAUUCGAUGAUACGCGAGGAACCUUACCCGGGCUUAAAUUGCAGAUGAAUUACGGUGAAAGCCGUAAGCCGCAAGGCAUCUGUGAAGGUGCUGCAUGGUUGUCGUCAGCUCGUGCCGUGAGGUGUCGGCUUAAGUGCCAUAACGAGCGCAACCCUUGUUGUCAGUUACUAACAGGUUCCGCUGAGGACUCUGACAAGACUGCCAUCGUAAGAUGUGAGGAAGGUGGGGAUGACGUCAAAUCAGCACGGCCCUUACGUCCGGGGCUACACACGUGUUACAAUGGGGGGUACAGAGGGCCGCUACCACGCGAGUGGAUGCCAAUCCCCAAAACCUCUCUCAGUUCGGACUGGAGUCUGCAACCCGACUCCACGAAGCUGGAUUCGCUAGUAAUCGCGCAUCAGCCACGGCGCGGUGAAUACGUUCCCGGGCCUUGUACACACCGCCCGUCAAGCCAUGGGAGCCGGGGGUACCUGAAGUGCGUAACCGCGAGGAGCGCCCUAGGGUAAAACU
rnacentral:rRNA from 1 species